rnacentral:rRNA from 1 species
GAUGAACGCUGACAGAAUGCUUAACACAUGCAAGUCAACUUGAAUUUGGGUUUUUAACUUAGGUUUGGGUGGCGGACGGGUGAGUAACGCGUAAAGAACUUGCCUCACAGCUAGGGACAACAUUUGGAAACGAAUGCUAAUACCUAAUAUUAUGAUAAUAGGGCAUCCUAUAAUUAUGAAAGCUAUACGCGCUGUGAGAGAGCUUUGCGUCCCAUUAGCUAGUUGGAGAGGUAACGGCUCACCAAGGCGAUGAUGGGUAGCCGGCCUGAGAGGGUGAUCGGCCACAAGGGGACUGAGACACGGCCCUUACGCCUACGGGAGGCAAGAGUGGGGAAUAUUGGACAAUGGACCGAGAGUCUGAUCCAGCAAUUCUGUGUGCACGAUGAAGUUUUUCGGAAUGUAAAGUGCUUUCAGUUGGGAAGAAACAAAUGACGGUACCAACAGAAGAAGUGACGGCUAAAUACGUG